rnacentral:tRNA from 1 species
CGCGGGAUAGAGCAGCUUGGUAGCUCGUCGGGCUCAUAACCCGAAGGUCGUAGGUUCAAAUCCUACUCCCGCAACCA